rnacentral:rRNA from 1 species
GACGAACCGUGCGAACGUUAUUCGGAUUCACUGGGCUUAAAGGGCGCGUAGGCGGGCUCGAAAGUCAGGGGUGAAAGCCUCCAGCUUAACUGGAGAAGUGCCUUUGAUACUGCGAGUCUCGAGGGAGGUAGGGGCGUGCGGAACUUCCGGUGGAGCGGUGAAAUGCGUAGGUAUCGGAAGGAACACCGGUGGCGAAAGCGGCGCGCUGGACCUCUUCUGACGCUGAGGCGCGAAAGCCAGGGGAGCAAACGG